rnacentral:rRNA from 1 species
GACGGAGGAUGCAAGCGUUAUCCGGAAUGACUGGGCGUAAAGCGUCCGCAGGCGGCAGUUCAAGUCUGCUGUCAAAGACCGGGGCUUAACUUCGGAAAGGCAGUGGAAACUGAACAGCUAGAGUAUGGUAGGGGCAGAGGGAAUUCCUGGUGUAGCGGUGAAAUGCGUAGAGAUCAGGAAGAACAUCGGUGGCGAAGGCGCUCUGCUGGACCAUAACUGACACUCAGGGACGAAAGCUAGGGGAGCGAAUGGG